rnacentral:rRNA from 2 species
GUCGAACGAACUCUGGUAUUGAUUGGUGCUUGCAUCAUGAUUUACAUUUGAGUGAGUGGCGAACUGGUGAGUAACACGUGGGAAACCUGCCCAGAAGCGGGGGAUAACACCUGGAAACAGAUGCUAAUACCGCAUAACAACUUGGACCGCAUGGUCCGAGUUUGAAAGAUGGCUUCGGCUAUCACUUUUGGAUGGUCCCGCGGCGUAUUAGCUAGAUGGUGGGGUAACGGCUCACCAUGGCAAUGAUACGUAGCCGACCUGAGAGGGUAAUCGGCCACAUUGGGACUGAGACACGGCCCAAACUCCUACGGGAGGCAGCAGUAGGGAAUCUUCCACAAUGGACGAAAGUCUGAUGGAGCAACGCCGCGUGAGUGAAGAAGGGUUUCGGCUCGUAAAACUCUGUUGUUAAAGAAGAACAUAUCUGAGAGUAACUGUUCAGGUAUUGACGGUAUUUAACCAGAAAGCCACGGCUAACUACGUGCCAGCAGCCGCGGUAAUACGUAGGUGGCAAGCGUUGUCCGGAUUUAUUGGGCGUAAAGCGAGCGCAGGCGGUUUUUUAAGUCUGAUGUGAAAGCCUUCGGCUCAACCGAAGAAGUGCAUCGGAAACUGGGAAACUUGAGUGCAGAAGAGGACAGUGGAACUCCAUGUGUAGCGGUGAAAUGCGUAGAUAUAUGGAAGAACACCAGUGGCGAAGGCGGCUGUCUGGUCUGUAACUGACGCUGAGGCUCGAAAGUAUGGGUAGCAAACAGGAUUAGAUACCCUGGUAGUCCAUACCGUAAACGAUGAAUGCUAAGUGUUGGAGGGUUUCCGCCCUUCAGUGCUGCAGCUAACGCAUUAAGCAUUCCGCCUGGGGAGUACGGCCGCAAGGCUGAAACUCAAAGGAAUUGACGGGGGCCCGCACAAGCGGUGGAGCAUGUGGUUUAAUUCGAAGCUACGCGAAGAACCUUACCAGGUCUUGACAUACUAUGCAAAUCUAAGAGAUUAGACGUUCCCUUCGGGGACAUGGAUACAGGUGGUGCAUGGUUGUCGUCAGCUCGUGUCGUGAGAUGUUGGGUUAAGUCCCGCAACGAGCGCAACCCUUAUUAUCAGUUGCCAGCAUUAAGUUGGGCACUCUGGUGAGACUGCCGGUGACAAACCGGAGGAAGGUGGGGAUGACGUCAAAUCAUCAUGCCCCUUAUGACCUGGGCUACACACGUGCUACAAUGGAUGGUACAACGAGUUGCGAACUCGCGAGAGUAAGCUAAUCUCUUAAAGCCAUUCUCAGUUCGGAUUGUAGGCUGCAACUCGCCUACAUGAAGUCGGAAUCGCUAGUAAUCGCGGAUCAGCAUGCCGCGGUGAAUACGUUCCCGGGCCUUGUACACACCGCCCGUCACACCAUGAGAGUUUGUAACACCCAAAGUCGGUGGGGUAACC